rnacentral:lncRNA from 1 species
GAGAGUUAUGACAGUAAAUCUAAAAUGAUUUCCAAAGGAAUAUUACGUAACAAAUGGCUUGAAGUAGUCUAUUAAAAAAUUGGGGAGAUUUUGAUUUCAUAGUGAGUCAGCAAGGCAUUUUUUUGUUUUUUAAAAAAUCUCAUUUCCUUACAGAAACAGUUUAUAGUUUUUAAUGAAUUUGUAAACAAAAAAGCUCCCAUUUCAAAAUAAAAACAAAAUCCCAGAUCAUAUAGAUGUUUACAGUGAUUACAUUUAUCUAAGCAACAUACAUACAUGUUCAGUUGUAAGAUGUUAACUAAAUUUCUGUGACAAAUAUG